GAGAGAGAGAAAAGAAUCAGGAGAGAAACAGAGCAGGUGCUUCUUCUAAUAACUAGAAGCAGAGGUGGUUGUAGUUUAAAUAAAGAAUUUCUAACAACAGAAGACUAUGCAUACACGAGCCAGUAUUCCAUAAUGCAAGGAGAUAUAAAUAAGUUCCACUCUUUUAGUGGUGUUUAUUCCACUGGAGUCUGGAAAGCCAAAGAGUGCACGUGAGUGGGUAUAUGGCUAUAAGUUUUGAAGGGCUCUGAUUGUAACAGCUCUCUAUGGAUCACAUGCAUCAUUCACGGGCAAGAGUUUUUUGUACUGGUCUUCUCAACUAACAGCAAUUACGGGCUAGCAUAUUUAUUUUUCAACAAAUGAUCUAUAAAUAUUGAUGCAUAUUGAAGGAAAAAUUCUCAUUGACCGAAAAAUUGCUAGGCGUGGUAUUAUGACCAACGCAUCAUCAUCGGGAACAAGUCCCUCGGCUCGGUAAUAGGGAGAGGGCUCAUAGCCAAGUACGGUCAGAUUUCACUUCAUUCCGGCGAGAGACUGUAGACAAAUCUCAACUCACAUUUGACCACUGGUGGUUCUCGGCACUCCAAGGAAGGAUGCUUUAAACUCAUUGGCUACCCGGAUUGGUGGGAGGAAUUAAAGCAACGAAAGGCCGCCGCCAAGGCACCGGUUACCCAGACCGACGGCAAGGCACAAGUCGUCACAACCCUCCCACAACCCAUGACAACACCACAACCAGAGGAAGCACAUGAUGACAGGGGGCAAGGUAUGUCAUCUUGGGCUUUUUUGGGUGUCUCACAGCAAACUUUGAAACCACCACAAAUAGCCCCAUAACCCACCGAAACCCACCCCCAUAAAAACCAAAAUCGACAUCAUAAAAUUCAAAACCAACAACAUCAACAUAUCAACUCCAAAAAUCCAGACAAUGGCCAACAAAAUCACAAAUCCCCGAAACCAAGUCCAAUAAACAAAUACCAAAACUUACCCAAAAUUUCAGAGAAGGUCCAAAGAGUAGCAUCAUUAAACAUUAAAAAUCAGAAUCCACAAAUUGUGAACCAAACAUCACAAACCAUCAUCAAAAACGACACACAAAACCCACAAGAAAAAUCAGCCUAUAAACACUGGGUGGCGGCCACCAUGGUGCCGGUACACCGGACCGGCGGCAUGGCCAACCCAGGUUGGUGUGUCGACUCAAACAAGGGAAGGGAGGAGAGCAAUCUGAGAGACGGGAAAGGUAAAAUAAUAAACUUCCCUUAAAUACCCAUAUAUAUAUAGAGGCAACCCAUGAAAACCCUAAUAACCUAACCCCAGGACCCCCAACCCGCGUGCCCACAAACGGGUGACCCGAGGGCCCACGUAUCCGGUUCCUCUCUAUUCCCUCAAGUUUUUUCAUACCCGAGUCACCUUUUUUUGCCCAAGGCUCGAUUUUCAAACCACUAAGGCACUAACCCUAAUAACAAUCUUUCAUACUCUUGGAUUUUUUAUUGAGGGGGAUUCGGGUGUUUUAUAAUCGAUUAAACUCACCAACCAUACUCGCAUAAAAAUUGCUAAUGGUGAUUAUGUUCGUGUGGAUUGUGAAGACCCAAUUGCUAAUUUAUUAUGUUUCAAUUUAAAAAGGAGGCUUGUGAUUUCUAAUUUGCUGUAGAAAUUAUUAUUCAUUAGCCAACUCACCAAGGAACUUAAUUGUACUGUUCUCAUGACCGUUUAUGGUUGUGUUGUAUAGGACGCCCAGAUACAGAAAAUCGUUUGUUAUGAUAUUAAAAUGGCGGAUUGUACUACUUGGAUAAUGUUGGCCUGUUUCUUAGGGGGAUCAAGCCCUUUUUUGAAGCAAAAUGUGAUUGAAGUUUUUCAAGGCAAGUUUAGUUCGGUCAUCUCGAGACCAGACUUGAGGGGGAAUGUAGGAAAAUAAAGAACAAAAUAAACUUUGAUAUUAUUCUAUCUUCUUAUUUUAGGAAAUAUUUUGUUAGAAUAUUUUCCUCUUAUUUUAGGAACUUAAGAUAUUUUGUUAUUCCGGUAUCUAUGUUUAAGUCAUUGAUCUUUUGUAUAAAUAGGAGUGUUUUUCCUCUAGUUAUGUUAUGAAUAAGAAAAACCGAAUAUUCAAAUCCAAACUUUAAUCUACUUCAUU